UACAGAGGUCCCGAGCGUUGUUCGGAUUCAUUGGGCGUAAAGGGUGCGUAGGCGGUCUUCUAAGUUUGAUGUGAAAUCCCGGGGCUCAACCCUGGAAUUGCAUUGAAUACUGGAGGACUAGAGUACUGGAGAGGAAACUGGAAUUUACGGUGUAGCAGUGAAAUGCGUAGAGAUCGUAAGGAAGACCAGUGGCGAAGGCGAGUUUCUGGACAGUAACUGACGCUGAGGCACGAAGGCCAGGGGAGCAAACGGG
rnacentral:rRNA from 1 species